rnacentral:rRNA from 1 species
UGGGGAAUUUUGGACAAUGGGCGAAGCCUGAUCCAGCAAUGCCGCGUGUGUGAAGAAGGCCCUCGGGUUGUAAAGCACUUUUGUCCGGAAAGAAAUCCUUGGCUCUAAUACAGUCGGGGGAUGACGGUACCGGAAGAAUAAGCACCGGCUAACUACGUGCCAGCAGCCGCGGUAAUACGUAGGGUGCAAGCGUUAAUCGGAAUUACUGGGCGUAAAGCGUGCGCAGGCGGUUUGCUAAGACCGAUGUGAAAUCCCCGGGCUCAACCUGGGAACUGCAUUGGUGACUGGCAGGCUAGAGUAUGGCAGAGGGGGGUAGAAUUCCACGUGUAGCAGUGAAAUGCGUAGAGAUGUGGAGGAAUACCGAUGGCGAAGGCAGCCCCCUGGGCCAAUACUGACGCUCAUGCACGAAAGCGUGGGGAGCAAACAGGAUUAGAUACCCUGGUAGUCCACGCCCUAAACGAUGUCAACUAGUUGUUGGGGAUUCAUUUCCUAGUAACGUAGCUAACGCGUGAAGUUGACCGCCUGGGGAGUACGGUCGCAAGAUUAAAACUUAAAUGAAUUGACGGGGUCAUAGCUGUUUCCU